rnacentral:tRNA from 1 species
GGCCCAAUGGUCUAGUGGUAUGAUUCUCGCUUUGGGUGCGAGAGGCCCCGCGUUCGAAUCGCGGUUGGGCCC